GCGAGCUAUACAUGCAAGUAGAACGCUGAUGUUUGGUGUUUACACUAGACUGAUGAGUUGCGAACGGGUGAGUAACGCGUAGGUAACCUGCCUCAUAGCGGGGGAUAACUAUUGGAAACGAUAGCUAAUACCGCAUAAGAGUGAUUAACACAUGUUAGUUAUUUAAAAGGAGCAAUUGCUUCACUGUGAGAUGGACCUGCGUUGUAUUAGCUAGUUGGUGAGGUAAAGGCUCACCAAGGCGACGAUACAUAGCCGACCUGAGAGGGUGAUCGGCCACACUGGGACUGAGACACGGCCCAGACUCCUACGGGAGGCAGCAGUAGGGAAUCUUCGGCAAUGGACGGAAGUCUGACCGAGCAACGCCGCGUGAGUGAAGAAGGUUUUCGGAUCGUAAAGCUCUGUUGUUAGAGAAGAACGUUGGUAGGAGUGGAAAAUCUACCAAGUGACGGUAACUAACCAGAAAGGGACGGCUAACUACGUGCCAGCAGCCGCGGUAAUACGUAGGUCCCGAGCGUUGUCCGGAUUUAUUGGGCGUAAAGCGAGCGCAGGCGGUUCUUUAAGUCUGAAGUUAAAGGCAGUGGCUUAACCAUUGU
rnacentral:rRNA from 1 species